CAUUUAAUAGCUUGAAAGUUACACUUUUAAAUAUUUAAAUUCAUUCAAUAACAAAAGGUGAAAUGAAUGGUUGAAUCCCAACAGUAAAAUUAUUUGUCCCGACAGUUUCUAAAUGCCGAGUUCGAAAGUUAAGAUGUCUAAUAUGACGGUUUUUAAAAUGUCGAAUUUGAUAGUUGAACUGUCGAAAUUGUCAGGAAGCUUGAAAACAUGUAUUUGGUAUCUUGGAAGAAAU
rnacentral:lncRNA from 1 species